AUUGAACGCUGGCGGCAGGCCUAACACAUGCAAGUCGAACGAGUGGCGGACGGGUGAGUAAUGUCUGGGAAACUGCCCGAUGGAGGGGGAUAACUACUGGAAACGGUAGCUAAUACCGCAUACCCUCGGAUGUGCCCAGAUGGGAUUAUCUAGUGGGUGGGGUAACGGCUCACCUAGGCGACGAUCUCUAGCUGGUCUGAGCGGAUGACCAACCACCCUGGAACUGAGACACGGUCCAUCCUCCUCCGGGAGGCAGCAGUGUGGAAUUGUGCACAAUGGGCGCAAGCCUGAUGCAGCCAUGCCGCGUGUAUGAAGAAGGCCUUCGGGUUGUAAAGUACUUUCAGCGAGGAGGCGUUACUCGCAGAAGAAGCACCGGCUAACUCCGUGCCAGCAGCCGCGGUAAUAC
rnacentral:rRNA from 1 species